UUAAUAUUACUGGAAAAUAGCCGUUUGUAAACUAGAACGUUUAUUAAAUCUAAAUUUGGAAAUCAGUUGAUAAUGUCAUUUGUAUAAUUAGUCGCUAACAAAAAAUGAUAUUAAUGAAAUUACCCUGAUACGAAAUGGAAAUUUCACCAAAUAUAAAUUCAGUCAUUUAUAAAAUAGUGAAAAACAAAAAUCUGUGGCUACGUGAGUUUAGCCAAUUCUUACUGCAGAAACUUAUAAAAUUAGCUGAUUGUAAACUUUAUAAAAUGUAAAAUUAGCCGUUUUUAAACUUUUUACAACUUUUAAAUGGGUCGGUCGAAUCUGCUCUAAUUU